rnacentral:misc_RNA from 1 species
AAAAAAGAAAAUGUAAGAAAAAAAAAUAGUGCUAGUUAGUUAGGGUUUACUAAUUUAAUUCCUUAAUUUUUAAGAUCAAGUGGAAAGGAGUUCUGAGUCUUCUGGCUGUUGCUCAAAGCCAAUCUUUACUGGACUUAAAAUGAGGUGAGAGAUGCAUUAGGACAUGCAGAUAUUGCAUUCAUAAUGUCCUCUGAAGAAGUUCAGGCUUAUGUCUAAAUUUCGAUCUUUUCUCCUCUUCUCAACUGGCGUUUCUGAAAAGUUUUGAGGUUUUGUGCAAUGUUGCAUUUUUUAUUUUACUCAUUAACAUUAUUGGUGGAUUAGAAGCUGUUGUGUUAUUGUGAUAACUCAAGAAGAAAGGCACAGGUUUUGAGGGGCCCUGAAUUCCAGGGUAGUUGACUUCAAUCUUUAUAGAUCAUGGCAUGAAUGGAUCAAAAAACUGCCAUACAUAAAAAAAAAGGUUCAAUAACAAAGCAAAAUAUUUUAAGUGACAGUUAGAUCUAGAUGUUUGAAAGAAAAUGGGUUUAGAGUUGUGGUUUAUUUUUUUGGUUUCAUGAUGUCAAAUACAUCUGUCUCAAAUCGUGACAUGUCUUGCUGAAAAUUCAAGACAUCAUGCUAGUAGUUCUAUGUAGAAUGUCUGAAAGACAGA